UUCCGUGAGCAUGGUGACGACUCCGAACUAUAGCAGCAUACUUUACCUACCCCUGAUCAGUUUUAUGGAAGAAAAGGAAACCAAACAAAAUCUAGAUUUAUUACAAGAAGUCCACGAUGGAGACAGCUCAAGAAUGGAAGAGACUCAAGCCCAAAGAUCAGAAGAACCUCUGUCCUGGAAGUCGGUUCUCUUUCCAAUGGAACAGCCUCUGCAAAGUGUACCACAUUAUGAGUUAAUAUAUCUCUUUUUUAAAAAGAAAAGUACUGAUAAGCCACUGAUGUGGUUUAGAUGUGCGUCCCUCCACCCCCACCCACAGUCCCAUGCUAGGAGUGUCACUCAUAUUAAGCUUUGAAUCAAUGGGGAACCCAUACAGGAAGAUCAUAAUAAAUACGGAAAAUUCUGAUAA